rnacentral:sRNA from 1 species
AGGCCUCCCCCUUUUGUGAACCAACCUGUUGCUUCGGGGGAGACCCGCCGUUUCGGGCGGCUCCCCCGGGGCCCAUUAACACUGCGUAACUGUUUAGUCGGAGUCUUAAUAAAUCAAUCAAAACUUUCAACAACGGAUCUCUUGGUUCUGGCAUCGAUGAAGAACGCAGCGAAAUGCGAUAAGUAAUGUGAAUUGCAGAAUUCAGUGAAUCAUCGAAUCUUUGAACGCACAUUGCGCCCCCUGGUAUUCCGGGGGGCAUGCCUGUCCGAGCGUCAUUACACCCCUCAAGCCUGGCUUGGUAUUGGGCGUCGCGGGCCUCGCCCGCCGCUAAGCUCCCCGGCUGGACCGUCCGUCCCUAAGCGUCGUGCAAACCUCGCGGGGUUUGAUGGCCGGCCGUAAUCUUUAUCAAAGG